rnacentral:rRNA from 1 species
AUACGGAGGGUGCAAGCGUUAUCCGGAUUUACUGGGUUUAAAGGGUACGUAGGCGGCUUGGUCAGUCAGUAGUGAAAGCCAACAGCUCAACUGUUGAAGGGCUACUGAUACUGCCAAACUUGAGUCCUGUCGAAGUAAGCAGAAUUCCACAUGUAGCGGUGAAAUGCUUAGAUAUGUGGAGGAAUACCGAUAACGAAAGUAGCUUACUAGGCUGUGACUGACGCUGAGGUACGAAAGCGUAGGGAGCGAACAGGAUUAGAAACCCUAGUAGUCC